rnacentral:rRNA from 1 species
CCCUUAGAUGUCCUGGGCUGCACGCGCGCUACACUGAUGUGUCCAGUAAGCACCUAACCUCUUCCGAAAGGAACGGGUAACCUUUGCAAAGCACAUCGUGAUGGGGAUAGAUUAUUGCAAUUAUUAGUCUUGAACGAGGAAUUCCUAGUAAGCACAAGUCAUCAGCUUGUGUUGAUUACGUCCCUGCCCUUUGUACACUCCGCCCGUCGCUCCUACCGAUUGAAUGUUCCGGUGAGCUCUUCGGACUGCGCGGUCUGCAGUUUCUGCGUUCCGUGCGGAAAGUUGCGCAAACCUUAACAUUUAGAGGAAGGAGAAGUCGUAACA